rnacentral:rRNA from 1 species
UACGGAGGGUGCAAGCGUUAUCCGGAUUCACUGGGUUUAAAGGGUGCGUAGGCGGGUUAUUAAGUCAGUGGUGAAAGCCUGCAGCUUAACUGCAGAAUUGCCAUUGAUACUGAUGAUCUUGAGUAUGAUUGAGGUGGGCGGAAUGUGUCAUGUAGCGGUGAAAUGCUUAGAUAUGACACAGAACACCGAUUGCGAAGGCAGCUCACUAAGUCAUAACUGACGCUGAUGCACGAAAGCGUGGGGAGCAAACAGG